rnacentral:ncRNA from 1 species
CACCUCACUGGGGGGAGCCGAUGGUCGGCUGAGAGGUCCUGUACGGGACGACCCCUGGAACCUGAUCCGGCUGAUACCGGCGUAGGGACAGUGAUCCAUGAAUGA